rnacentral:rRNA from 1 species
GAUGAACGCUGGCGGCGUGCCUAAUACAUGCAAGUCGAGCGAACGGACGAGAAGCUUGCUUCUCUGAUGUUAGCGGCGGACGGGUGAGUAACACGUGGAUAACCUACCUAUAAGACUGGGAUAACUUCGGGAAACCGGAGCUAAUACCGGAUAAUAUUUUGAACCGCAUGGUUCAAAAGUGAAAGACGGUCUUGCUGUCACUUAUAGAUGGAUCCGCGCUGCAUUAGCUAGUUGGUAAGGUAACGGCUUACCAAGGCAACGAUGCAUAGCCGACCUGAGAGGGUGAUCUGCCACACUGGAACUUGAACACGGUCCAGACUCCUACGGGAGGCAGCAGUAGGGAAUCUUCCGCAAUGGGCGAAAGCCUGACGGAGCAACGCCGCGUGAGUGAUGAAGGUCUUCGGAUCGUAAAACUCUGUUAUUAGGGAAGAACAUAUGUGUAAGUAACUGUGCACAUCUUGACGGUACCUAAUCAGAAAGCCACGGCUAACUACGUG